rnacentral:lncRNA from 1 species
GUGCAGGGGCACGAAUCCUGCCUCGCCCUUCUCCUCCAUCAAGGUCGCUGCUGGACCGGUCAACACCCCACAGGCUGCUGCUUCCCUUCCAGCUGCCGCCACUUGCCCAUAUCUACACUGCAUAUAACAUGCCAAAAUAUUCAGUGCAUGUCUCACACUGCAGGAACUUAGCCCACUAAGGAAAACCGACCGUCGGACUUGUUCCUCCUAACAACAUGGACGGUCAUCGUCGUCCUGGCCUUCUUCUCAUUCCUCGCGCCAUUGAUCAGCUCGAAGACGCAGAUAUCCCCCUUGUGCAGUUUGUUGUCGCUGACGAACUUGGCCCAAGGUUGGCCCCUGAAGCCUCUGCUAGAGCUCCCCUGGUGGUAGUAGCUGACAUGCCACCUCUCUUCUCUGUUUGGCCUGAGCAGCACAACCUCAUGUAAUCUCAUGUGGAGAUGUUCAUCUACAAAUUCACUGGGGAUGACCUGCACAAGGCACAAGGAGAAAUUAAUGUUAGUUCCUAAAUAUAAGUCUUUUUAGAGCUUUCACUAUAGACUACAUACGAAUGUAUAUAGACAUAUUUUAGAGUGUAGAUUCACUCAUUUUGCUCCGUAUGUAUGUAGUUCAUAUUGGAAUCUCUAAAAAGACUUAUACUUAGGAAUGGAUGGAGUACAUGCCAGAGUUGACAAAGAAUUACACAAGCUUGCGGCAAGUGUGUUACAUCGUUUUGAUCAGUUCAAACUGACCAGAAAGUUGUCCUUGCGUUGCAGAUGGGACCUUAGCAGAAAUGUCAUGAAUGCUGGAUUGCCUGGUUGGAUUGAAGCCAACCCGAUUAUUUCAUGUUUUUCGUCGUCAAGUAGUCUGUUCGCGGCCCUUGAGUGGCAGUAGUAGAAGUCAGCAUAUGUGUCAUCAUCACUCUCCUCUUCCGCAGUUUCCUCAUGCUUAACAUCACAUGAUCUGCUACAGUUUGGUGAUCCAGGAAGAAGCUCUUUCCCUGAAACAAUGUGUACAUGAGCUUAAAUUUAGCAUCUGAAAAAACCAGCAAAAGAUAAAUGUUGAUCAUGUGCAUAGUUACAUGGGUCUGUGUUAGCUGACUACACCAAGAUCUCAAGAAAGGAAUGUUGAUCAUGUGCAUAGUUACAUGGGUCUGUGUUAGCUGACUACACCAAGAUCUCAAGAAAGGGAUAUAUUCAGAGAUAUCAUCUCAUGUAUUAGUCGAACCACAUAAUGCCUUCCUUGGUUUGGUCCUGCUACUGAAUUUCCUUAAAGUGGAGACAUUCUGAUGGGACUCAAUCAACUGAGACGGCACACUUGUAUCAUCAUAAUCGUCGUAUUGCUCAACCUGUUGACCCACCAUACCAUCAAAAUGUUUGCGCAUACCAGCGCCAGCAAAGAGAGAAGACAGUUUCUCGCAGCCGGUCACAUCGAAGAUGAGGACUUUAAAAGAGGAGUUGCCGCUGAAUGUGAAGAUCAGGAGGUCAUUCUCCUGCAGUUCAUGAGUCUUGACAAAAUCUCCCCAUCCUGAACUGAAGAACAGGUCAUUGGCAACCUUGGUAACACCUACAUGCCAUGUUUCGCCGCUUGAUGCUUUCAGGUCAAAUCCCUGUGGGCUCUGCAUCUGCCUGAUGAAAUUGCUCGCAAACUUGUCCGGUAUGCGCUAAGAUGGAGAAGCAUAAAUUGUACAAAUAACUCACAUGGUUUUUAAGGGAAUAUUACAGUCCUUUGAGAGAGGUGCAUCGAUGCACUCUAUCUUCUAUGGAUGAACUAACGAAACAGUAAGACUUGUUUAUGAUCUCGACAAAACAUACAUGGGUAUACCUACUGGAAAGGAGAGGGAGGAAGGGAUAGGUGACGGAGAGGAACCUGAAGGUGCAGGGGCACGAAUCCUGCCUGGCCCUUCUCCUCCGUCAAGGUCGCUGCUGGACCGGUUGACGCCCCUCUGGCUGCUGCUGCCCUUCUAGCCGCCGCCAUGCCCUCCAGAUCCCUUCUCCUCCAUCAAGGUCGCUGCUGGACCGGUCGGCCGCCACGCCCGCCAGACCCCCGCUGGCCGCCACCAUCGCCUGCAUCCAGGCCGCCAACAGCAGCCUUGACCCGGCCCCAACCGUCAGCUCGACCAUGGUUUGGGCACCCUCCUUCACUCCAGAGGCGUCGUCCUCCGCCGCGAGGAGGAGGAGGCGGGGGAGCCCGUCCCGCGCGAACCCGGAGCAGGCAGUGGAGAUCGGGUUCGCCCGGUGAAGCGCGUGGCCACGACGGCCUGCGCGCGAGCGAUGGGACGGCGAGGAGGAGGAAGAGGCGAGGCGGUGGAGGAGCAGCAGUCGUCGGCUGGGACUCCUAGGACGCAGAAGGAGGAGGAGGAGGAGGAGGUGGGAGGGAGCGCGGCGGCGGAUGAGGGAGGGAGGAGCGAGGGGCGUGGGGGCUGUGGAUCGGGGCUUGGGGCUAGGGUUCAGACUUUCUCCCGCCUGUACCUUCGAUGCCCCUUCGAUGUAUAGGGAAUAAAAGGAGAC